GGGCAAUGAAGAAAAUAACAAGGUUCGCUCGUCGUACGUAAUGGCAAAAAAUGCCUUGACGACUCUUCUUGAAUAUUGCUCUGAGCCC
rnacentral:snoRNA from 1 species